rnacentral:rRNA from 1 species
UACGUAGGGGGCAAGCGUUGUCCGGAUUUAUUGGGCGUAAAGAGCGUGUAGGCGGCCAGACAGGUCAGCUGUGAAAACUCGAGGCUCAACCUCGAGACGUCGGUUGAAACCGUAAGGCUAGAGUCCGGAAGAGGAGAGUGGAAUUCCCGGUGUAGCGGUGAAAUGCGCAGAUAUCGGGAAGAACACCCGUGGCGAAGGCGGCUCUCUGGGACGGUACUGACGCUGAGACGCGAAAGCGUGGGGAGCGAACAGG